rnacentral:sRNA from 1 species
CACAUGACAGGUCUGGAUCUGUUUCUGUUGGGAUCACAGUGGAUCAGUGUUAUAGACUCGGAAUCCAUUUUCCAUCCCACACGCAAAGCAUCCUAAAGCAGAAGUGUAAAAGAGACAUUAAUCCCCAGGCCUGGAGUGGUUAAAAGUAAGAGGUCUGGAGAAAUGACAACUACUGAGAACUCUUGCAGAUGCUCAAACCACACAGACACGAUAGGUGCUAAGUCACAACUCCUGUCCUUGUAGAAAUGUUACUAAGUGACAAGCACAUCCAUGCAGGGCAUUUUGUUUGUCCUUUAGCAAAGGAGUCUUGGAGUUGUUCACACAACUUCCCCACUGCAGGGGCCUUCUGUGGCAUCCCCAUGGCCCAGGCUUGGAGGACGAUGAGUGACAAACGUGAAGGACACAUCUAGAGGAAAGCCACCAAGCAGGCAAUCCCGCCCACUGUGGACACCAGGUGAAGGGAAGGGCAGGGUGCUGGGGAGACAAGAGGUAGUCCUAGACUCCAGGAACCGGGAAGGUGAGGAAAGGAUGCUCUUUCCCAUUUACAGGGUGGUCUCCCGUGACUUUGCUCCCACCUAUAAAUCAUCCUAACUCCUUAAAAUCCUGUCAGAGUCUCAACGAGUUACCCAGGUCACUCAUCCUGGUCACUGCCUCCAAGUCACACAGCAGGCUGUUAAUGGUCCAAAUAGCACUGUUAGAAACUGAAUAAAGCACUUAAGUGUGUAGA